rnacentral:rRNA from 1 species
UACGGAGGGGACUAGCGUUGUUCGGAAUUACUGGGCGUAAAGCGCACGUAGGCGGAUUUGUAAGUCAGGGGUGAAAAUCCCGGGGCUCAACCUCGGAACUGCCUUUGAUACUGCAAAUCUCGAGUCCGGAAGAGGUGAGUGGAAUUCCUAGUGUAGAGGUGAAAUUCGUAGAUAUUAGGAAGAACACCAGUGGCGAAGGCGGCUCACUGGUCCGGUACUGACGCUGAGGUGCGAAAGCGAUGGGGAGCAAACUAGGGGAUUCAAGUGAACCCCUAGUCC